rnacentral:rRNA from 1 species
CCUACGGGAGGCAGCAGUGGGGAAUAUUGGACAAUGGGCGAAAGCCUGAUCCAGCCAUGCCGCGUGUGUGAAGAAGGUCUUCGGAUUGUAAAGCACUUUAAGUUGGGAGGAAGGGCAUUAACCUAAUACCUUGGUGUUUUGACGUUACCGACAGAAUAAGCACCGGCUAACUUCGUGCCAGCAGCCGCGGUAAU